AGCCUAAUAACAAUUAGUAGAAGAAAAAUUAAACACUCACGCUCUAUCUCAAUCUAAACUCUCACGCUCUGCUAUCUCUUCCCAUAUUUCACCUCUAUUCUUUUAUCCAUAUUUUUCCAAACAUCAAAACAUACUUCUCGAAUUCACAAGCUAACAACAGCAACGAAAUCUAAUUCCUCACUCAAACUCUCAUUUCAUUCGGGAUAAAACAAUUCAACAUUUAAACAAUAGAACCAUCAAUACACGACAUCAAUCACGAGAAGAAGAAAGGUGAAGAGGUUACCGAAAACGACGCUUCAUCGGCAAAGAUCUUACUCCGAUGAGUCUUCAAGAGUUCUGGUGAACCUUCGAUUUGGUUGUUUGCGGUGGAAUCUCGCCGAAGGUUGUAGGACUCAGUAAUCCGACUUCCAUGGUUACGGGAUCGAGCGUGAUCGGAGGGAGGCUGUGUGUGUACGACUUUGCAUAUCGUGUUCUCAAAUUCGGGGCUGCUCCAUUUGUGAUUCCGAUUUCUUCCGUCUUAGGACCUCUGCUAUCGUGUUCUGUUUCAGAUCUCUGAGUUUUGUGAGCACUUGAUGAUUCUCUGUUUUUGGUCUGGUGUGAUAUGUUGUUGAGUGAUUGUGCUGCAAUGUGGAGCAUCGCUGCCGUUGUUCAAUUCUUGUUGGAAUUUUGCAAAUCCUGUUCUAAAACGGGUGAAGGUUGGUUGUAGGAUUCGGUUGCUCUUGAUAUUCAAAAGUACGGGGAUGAUGCUUGGCUUGAAGAUGUGCGUUUGAAGAUUUCGCAGCGGCGGGACCAAUUGAGGAUAGGGCGUCGUGUCGUUGUUGUGAUAUGAAGCUUCUAAUUCAUCUUCUUCUUCUGCAAAAACUUUAUACAUAUGUUAGUGUUUUGGUUAGAAAUUAGUGAGAAUUAGUUUGAAACUUUGUGAA